GGAAGACACCACGUCCUUCCCUGAAGCACCUUCCUGUUUCCAGAAUGUACUUGCCCUCUAUUUGGCUUUGUUUUGAUCAUGGGAGUGAGGUUUUAGAGCAGGAACAUGGACUCGGGAACACCCCUCAAACCACCCCAAUCUCACCAACCUGGUCCCCCACUGCCUCUCAAGCCCUUAAACCACCCCAGGAAGACACACAUGGGUCUUGGAGACUAGUUGAGACAGAGAGAAGGAGGAUGCUGAAGGCAAGGGCAGAGUUCUGAGCUGGAGGUAGAUGCUGGGAAGACUACUAACAUAGAAGACAGAGCUCUUCACCAAAACAGGGUCAACGAUGCAGGAUUCGAGUCAGAAAGGGGUGGAAAAAAUAGAGAAGCUCAGGUAAGAAAGAGAAGGGAAGUGACACAUCUGUUCAAAAAAGUGGAGCUGAGAGAAAGAGUCCUGGAGAACAAUGAAAAGAAGAGCUAGAAAACACAAAGCCUGAGGACCACGCUCGGAGCCCCGCAGCCGAGGAGCCGCUACAAACACAGCAGAGCCAGCUGGAGAGGCUCCGGGGGGAGGGCGGGAGAGGCCGCCGCAGCUCCUGGAGGGGGCUCUGCCUCCGUCCUUAUGCCCCACUCCCCUCCCGGGGACUGAUCCUUGUGGUCAAACACAGACACCCCCCCCAUCAGGAGUGGGGCCCCGAUACCUGUGACAGUGAGCCUGGUGCCGGGCCCAAAGUAGAGCGGCGAAUUAUAGGAACACAGCUGCAGACAGCUGUGCUAAAACCUGCCGGAGGUCUCCAGCCAGAGGGCAAGUCUUAGCUCCCUGGGAGUAGGGAUGGCCACCUGUCCCUGCCUGGAUUUGGGACUUGGGACCAAAGAGAUCCAUAAGGAGAGAAGCUUAAGCAUUCUACUGGGAGAGACGGAGUGGAAGAGGCUCAGGAGGGCAGAUCCCCACAUGUAAGGCAGGAGGGUGGACUAAGCACAGAGUAAGGAAGCUGAUUAGGGACUGGAGACAUAGAGAAAUCAACCCCAAGCCAUGGCAAACACAGUUUCUUGGAAGCCGCACAGGAAUGAGAAGUUAACUGCCCUUUCACCAGGGCUGAGAGGAGAAGCUAGAGUCCGCAUCCAAGGGACAAUGACCCUGCUACCCUGGUCCUGCGCCUUACCUAGGACAGAGAGUCGAGUUCCCUCUCCAAAGUGCUGUGGCUGGUUGCUCCACAGUACAACAUGAGUGUGGAAAACCCCAUAGUUGCUGGUGGGCGACCAUUCCGUCCAGAAGCUUCCACCCAGAACUCCUAGGGGCUCCAGCACGCACUCCGCGCACACACACCCUCUGAACCUUUUCCCUGCUGAAUUCUCUGUCCCUGCCCUCUCUAAGGAGUCCUUCUGGAACUCCAGCCUUACAAGACACUACCCCCAGGAAAGACUUUUACUUACCCAAGACAGAGAGCUUGGUUCCAUUGCCGAAAAAUAGUUUUUCAUUAGUUACACAACAGUAAAGCCUGGUAGAAAACUGCCCCUGGUGCCUCCCAUUCCUUCUCCCCAAGCCUGUCUGCCAGCUCUCUUCUCCCUUUCCUUAGCAGAAUCUUAACCCUGGGAGGUGGAGAGAGGACAACUGUGCAC
ensembl:lncRNA